rnacentral:rRNA from 1 species
AACGAACGCUGGCGGCAGGCUUAACACAUGCAAGUCGAACGCCCCGCAAGGGGAGUGGCAGACGGGUGAGUAACGCGUGGGAAUCUACCUAGUUCUACGGAACAACAGUUGGAAACGACUGCUAAUACCGUAUACGCCCUACGGGGGAAAGAUUUAUCGGAAUUAGAUGAGCCCGCGUAAGAUUAGCUAGUUGGUGGGGUAAUGGCCUACCAAGGCGACGAUCUUUAGCUGGUCUGAGAGGAUGAUCAGCCACACUGGGACUGAGACACGGCCCAGACUCCUACGGGAGGCAGCAGUGGGGAAUAUUGGACAAUGGGCGCAAGCCUGAUCCAGCCAUGCCGCGUGAGUGAUGAAGGCCUUAGGGUCGUAAAGCUCUUUCAGUAGGGAAGAUAAUGACGGUACCUACAGAAGAAGCCCCGGCUAACUUCGUGCCAGCCGCCGCAGUAAGAC